GACGAACCGUGCGAACGUUGUUCGGAAUCACUGGGCUUAAAGGGCGCGUAGGCGGGCCGAAAAGUCAGGGGUGAAAUCCUCCAGCUUAACUGGAGAACUGCCUUUGAUACUGGCGGUCUGGAGUAAGGUAGGGGCAUGCGGAACUGAUGGUGGAGCGGUGAAAUGCGUAGAGAUCGGAAAGAACACCAACGGCGAAAGCACUCUGCUGGGCCGACACUGACACGGAGAGACGAAAGCUAGGGGAGCGAAUGGG
rnacentral:rRNA from 1 species